UGAAAUGUGGAUUGAUUUGGAUAUGAUAGCCGUCCAGAGCCUUCAUAGGAUUGCAACCACGAUAAAAAAGUGCUAAAAACAUGCUU
rfam:Parapedobacter luteus strain DSM 22899 genome assembly, contig: LY06DRAFT_scaffold00009.9